UUGCUCAAUCGCCGCCCCGGCAGAGCACUCCAUUGCCUCUCCCCGGCCUUCGCGCCGCUCCCCUUCUCUCUCUCCGCGCCGUUUCCUUUCCUCUGCUCCAGCAGCUAUAAAAGGAAUGCCCCCGUCGCCGGAGUUCCCUCCGCUCUUGUUGCCUUCAGCCUUCUCUAGCUCUCUGCUCAAGCUCCUAGCGCCACCCACCCAGUUCUUGAGGAGUUCUUCCCUCAGUUCUCUUUCAGUUUUCUCCAAGUCACCCAGCAGCUUGCUCCUCCGUGCUGCGUAAAAGCUCUCUUGUGAUCCGCAAGAAGCAGCGCCGCCGCCGGAGCAUUGCCAGUCUUAGCCCUUGCUCGAAGCUUUAGUCCCUCCGCCCAAGUCAGCUUCUUCCCAACCCCACGCUUUCCUUUCAGGAAGAAGGUGAGUAGCCGACCCCAGUCCGCCUCGCCCGACCCCUCCUAUCCGCCCGACCCCGGUUCCGUCUCGCCCGACCCUGUCUGUUCCGCCGACCCUUAUCCGCCUCGCACGAGGGCUUGGCUGUGAUCUUUUUCUUCAACUCGAGGGUGUAUGUGUAAAACUUGGGAACCCUUCAGCACUUGCGUCUAAGGACCCCUAGCUUAUCACACCCUCUAGUUCAAGGAUCAGACCACUAGUUCCUUUC
rnacentral:lncRNA from 1 species